ensembl:lncRNA
UAAGGACACCCCCAAACCCGAGCUGUGUCCCCCCCGCCGCCCGCUGUCUGCUCACAAGUCACUCAGCAUCAUGUUCUCCCCUGCGCUCUCCGUGCGCUCGGCUAUGGACGCCUCGCAAGGGUAAACCCCGGCAUCCGACGGCUCCGGUUCUCGGAUAAUCAGCGUCUCACCGUGCACGGUCGCCCGACCUAAGGGAGCAGAAGAGACCUAAAUAUCCAGCUCGAGCUCCCUCGGGGAGCUAAACGUCCAGCCUCCGCCCCCUACCAUUCCCCAGUCCGGGGACCCAGGCAUCCGGGUCUCCAGCUCCUCACUCACCCUGAUCUCCGGACCAAGCCCUGAUGCUCCCAGGGUCCCACCCUGAGCUGGCUCGCUUAGGAUCACCCGCAGCCCCACGGAAGCCUCGGCCGAGAAGGGGGACCCUCCAAGAGUCACCUCCUCCCCAUCGGGUGCGAGCCAGCGAAGGCGAGCCUCGACUUCCCCGCCAGACGCUGCCAAUAACGGACCGGCCGGUCCGAAGAACAGAGGAGUGAGGGAGAGGCAGGUGGGGAGCAAAGGGAGGAGACUACAGGGGGACAGACUCGAGAGGUCCGGGGUGAGAGAGCUGGGAGCGCUCCUUUACCUUUGCAGAUGAAGUAAUAGGAGGUGCCCCGGUAAAGGGCUCCGGGGCCGGGACGAUGGUCAGGAACUCGGAUCUGCCCAGAACUGCGACUACAAGAGGUAAUAAGCAUGGCUGGGCGACCCCUGGCCCGGGGUAGCGUCACCUCAGUCACCCCCAGACCCACUCAGAUGGCUGCCAAUCUCUCAAGGACCCAGGGGUCCGAUCCCACCUAUUGAUCCCAGCCCCGAGGUUCCAGCCCGCCUAGCUCUGGACACCCUAACCCUGAGGAGACCCAGACUCCCUGUUCCGACACCCCCAGCCCCAAGGGGACCCAGAGAUGAGUCAUCUCAGCCUCCCAACCUUUAACCCCUGAGGGACUCAGGAGUCCAAAUCCAGUCUCUGAUAGCCCCGGUUCCCCUGGGACCGACGCAGUGCCGCGCCUGUCUAGCUCACCUGCCGCUGCAGCCAAAAGCUGGAGGCAAGCAAUAGCAGCGGUCAUAGUGACUAGGAUAUCGGACGCUUGGGUUCCCUCCUGAGGGACAACUACGGGAUAAGUGGGGGGGCCUCCAUUUAUCCUUUCCUCGGGCUGACAGACCAGCCGGAAGGAUGGCUCCAGGCGCAGGUCCCGGGGCGGGGGUCCCAGGGCGGGGGUCGCCGGGCUGCAACUAAAAAUAGAGCUUGAGAAGCAGUCGCCCAGGCUCCACGCCCCAGAAUUUCCGUCCUGCAACGUGAGGCGACACUGGGGCAUGGAGGAUGAUGGUCAGACAGUAAGGGGGACUUCCCGGGAGAGACACUGACUCUGAAUGGGGGACCUCCCCCUCCCGACCUAGUCCUAGAAGGAGUUCCUGCUGUUCCCCUCUCCUCUCUUGGUGAGCCCUGACGCAUAUCCCCUCCCACCCUGCUUCCCCAGUCUGUUUACUACCUCCUCGGCUGGGAGGUGCCCAGGAGGGUGUGGAACGGCCCAGGGCCAGUGUGCCCACCGGAGGAGGGAUGGAGGUGGGAGCUGCAAAAGCUUGAAAAGUCCUUGGCUCUGAUUAUCUGGCUCUGGCCAGUGAAAAUGGAAAGAUUUGGAGGGCUGGACCCCAGAAGGUUAGGGGAUCCAUUCAUCCAUUCAUUGAUCCAUUCAUCACAAUUAUCC